rnacentral:rRNA from 1 species
AUUGAACGCUGGCGGCAUGCCUUACACAUGCAAGUCGAACGGCAGCACGGGUGCUUGCACCUGGUGGCGAGUGGCGAACGGGUGAGUAAUACAUCGGAACAUGUCCUGUAGUGGGGGAUAGCCCGGCGAAAGCCGGAUUAAUACCGCAUACGAUCUACGGAUGAAAGCGGGGGACCUUCGGUCCUCGCGCUAUAGGGUUGGCCGAUGGCUGAUUAGCUAGUUGGUGGGGUAAAGGCCUACCAAGGCGACGAUCAGUAGCUGGUCUGAGAGGACGACCAGCCACACUGGGACUGAGACACGGCCCAGACUCCUACGGGAGGCAGCAGUGGGGAAUUUUGGACAAUGGGCGAAAGCCUGAUCCAGCAAUGCCGCGUGUGUGAAGAAGGCCUUCGGGUUGUAAAGCACUUUUGUCCGGAAAGAAAUCCUUGGCUCUAAUACAGUCGGGGGAUGACGGUACCGGAAGAAUAAGCACCGGCUAACUACGUG